AUCUUGCAAUUCAUCUCUAAUUAUUUUGUGACGCCGCGUCAGCCGCUGUCCCGGCGACGGUGGAAUUGAAAAGGGUUUGAUUUCUUUUAUCACCGGAACUCUUCUCUCCCGCCGUUCGCUGCUUUAGAGUAUCUCGACGGCGGCGAUGGAUGGAUUGAAAAGGGGGUUUAAUCUCUUUGAUCAUCUCCCUUGUUUUUGAGCAAUAAUCUCUUCUUUUCUGUGGCCGGAGAAGUGUAGCGUCCAUGGCACAGCUAUAUCCAAACUUUUGCGAUGAAACUUAUCUAUUCAUAGCAAAGCAGCAUCAUGUUCUUUCUAACAUCAUCUUACUACAGAUACUUUUUACAUACGUUUCCGUUGUUUAUUACAGGAUGUACAGAGAAAGGUUUAUACAAAGUCUGGAACUAGAGUUUGGUGCAAUCACUGAACUCGAACGGGGACAAGUUUGAGAGGUGCUCUCCAAUCGAAGAAGUAAAGUAAGUUCAAGAGUCCCAAUUCCACAGUAGCUAUCCCCAUUGCUAUACCAGGACAUAUCCUUCGACCAGACCCAAACGUAUUUCGGAUCUCUUCCUAUGGCCCAAGCGUUGACCAAGAUCCUUCUCUUUGGAGGAAUAUCAUAGCCUUGAACCUUGACGUGAGCCCUUGU